rnacentral:rRNA from 1 species
UACGUAAGUGGCGAGCGUUAUCCGGAAUUACUGGGCGUAAAGCGUGCGUAGGCGGUUUAGUGGGUGGGAUUUGAAAGCCCGGGGCUCAACUCCGGAUCCGGAUCCCAAACUGCUAGACUCGAGAGUAUCAGAGGAGAGCGGAAUUCCCGGUGUAGCGGUAAUAUGCGUAGAUAUCGGGAGGAACACCAGUGGCGAAGGCGGCUCUCUGGGGUAUUUCUGACGCUGAGGCACGAAAGCCAGGGGAGCGAACGGG